rnacentral:rRNA from 1 species
UACGGGGGGAGCAAGCGUUGUUCGGAUUUACUGGGCGUAAAGGGCGCGUAGGCGGUCAGCACAAGUCAGUUGUGAAAUCUCCGGGCUUAACUCGGAAAGGUCAACUGAUACUGUGCGACUAGAGUGCAGAAGGGGCAACUGGAAUUCUCGGUGUAGCGGUGAAAUGCGUAGAUAUCGAGAGGAACACCUGCGGCGAAGGCGGGUUGCUGGGCUGACACUGACGCUGAGGCGCGAAAGCCAGGGUAGCGAACGGG